rnacentral:rRNA from 1 species
AUUGAACGCUGGCGGCAGGCCUAACACAUGCAAGUCGAACGGUAACAGGAAGCAGCUUGCUGCUUCGCUGACGAGUGGCGGACGGGUGAGUAAUGGCUGGGAAGCUGCCUGAGGGAGGGGGAUAACUACUGGAAACGGUAGCUAAUACCGCAUAAUGUCGCAAGACCAAAGAGGGGGACCUUCGGGCCUCUUGCCAUCGGAUGUGCCCAGAUGGGAUUAGCUUGUUGGUGGGGUACCGGCUCACCAAGGCGACGAUCCCUAGCUGGUCUGAGAGGAUGACCAGCCACACUGGACCUGAGACACGGUCCAGACUCCUACGGGAGGCAGCAGUGGGGAAUAUUGCACAAUGGGCGCAAGCCUGAUGCAGCCAUGCCGCGUGUAUGAAGAAGGCCUUCGGGUUGUAAAGUACUUUCAGCGGGGAGGAAGGGAGUAAAGUUAAUCCCUUGGCUCAUUGACGUUACCCGCAGAAGAAGCACCGGCUAACUCCGUG